rnacentral:lncRNA from 1 species
CAGUAGAAAACAGAUGAAUACACCUAGAUUUCUUCCUGCGUGAAUCCAGUUGAGGGGAAGGUAUAAAAUUUUCAAAUGGAGGAGUAUACCUGAACCUAAUCAUGGAUGUGAUUUUAUGUAAGUAAUAUGUGAGAUACAGAUAAGCUGAUUCUAAAACUUACAAGAAUGGCAAAGAAACAAGAAGAGCUUAAACUGCAAUCAUCAACAGAGAAGCUUUCUGCAACCAAAGUGAAGACUGAAGCCUUAGGCUAUGGCAGAAGUUGGGCGCCUGAAGUACACGUGGAAAUAUGCCAACUGAACAUUGGACUACCACGUCAAGGGUCUCCUACCCCUGGGCCAUGGAUCAAUACCAGUCUGUGACCUGUUAGGAACCGGUAGCAGGAGGUGAGUAGCAGCCUAGCGAGCACUACUGCCUAAGCUCCACCUCCUGUCAGAUCAGUAGUGACAUGAGAUUUUCAUAGGAGCAGAAACCCUAUUGUGAACUCCAAACACAAGGGAUCUAGGUUAUGCACUACUUAUGAGAAUCUAAUGCCUGAUGAUCUGAGGUGGAACAGUUUCAUCCUGAAACCACCGCCCCCAUGUGUGGAAAAAUUGUCUUCCACAAAACUGGUCCCUGGUACCAAAAAGGUCAGGGACCACUGCUGUAGGUAAACCUGCA